CUCUCCUUAGCUCAGCUGGAAGAGCAUGAGACUGUAACUGUUACAAGAUAUCUCAGGGUCCCCGGUUCGAUCCCGGGAGGGGAGA
rfam:Candida arabinofermentans NRRL YB-2248 unplaced genomic scaffold CANARscaffold_28, whole genome shotgun sequence.